rnacentral:rRNA from 1 species
CCCCACUGCUAUCGAGGUGGGACUAAGCCAUGCCAGUCGAACGACCCGGACUAUGGCGGGGAGUGGCAGACUGCUCAGUAACACGUAGCUAACCUACCCUCGGGACGGGGAUAACCCCGGGAAACUGGGGCUAAUACCCGAUAGGUAUGGAUUCCUGGAAUGGUGCCAUGCCUAAACGUAAGCACAUCCAUGUUUGUGUGCACGCCCGAGGAUGGGGCUGCGGCCGAUCAGGCAGUUGGUGAGGUAACGGCUCACCAAACCUUUGACCGGUACGGGCCAUGAGAGUGGUAGCCCGGAGAUGGGCACUGAGACAAGGGCCCAGGCCCUACGGGGCGCAGCAGGCGCGAAACCUCCACAAUUCACGCAAGUGAGAUGGGGUUACCUCGAGUGCCAUCUGAAGAAGGUGGCUUUUCCAUGGUGUAAUGAGCCGUGGGAAUAAGGGGGGGGCAAGACUGGUGUCAGCCGCCGCGGUAACACCAGCCCCCCGAGUGGUGGGGAUGAUUAUUUGGCCUAAAGCGUCCGUAGCCAGCUCGGUAAAUCUCUCGUUAAAUCCAGCGUCCUAAGCGUUGGGCUGCGAGGGAAACUGCCGAACUAGAGGGUGGGAGAGGUCAGCGGUAUUCCUGGGGUAGGGGCGAAAUCCAUUGAUCCCAGGAGGACCACCAGUGGCGAAGGCUGCUGACUAGAACACGCCUGACGGUGAGGGACGAAAGCUGGGGUAGCGAAUCGGAUUAGAUACCCGAGUAGUCCCAGCCGUAAACGAUGCAGGCUAGGUGUUGGGUCGGCCAUGCGCCGCCUCAGUGCCACAGGGAAGCCAUUAAGCCUGCCGCCUGGGGAGUACGGCCGCAAGGCUGAAACUUAAAGGAAUUGGCGGGGGAGCACCACCAGGCGUGAAGCCUGCGGUUU